CUGCCCUAUGGAGGAGCCCAAAGGGUGCAGACCUGAGACCUCUGACCAACAGUCAGCAGGGAACUGAGCCCUGCUGCCCACAGCCAUGUAAGCGAGCAUGGAAAUGGAUCCUGUAGCCCUGGUCAAGCCUUCAGUGUCUUCAUUGAUUCUCGCCACACUUUCUGGAAUAAGAAGAACACAUGUAAUAAUUGUUGAUGAGAACACUGAUGGAUAGAACAUUGUAUAUUUCUCUAGGUCCUAUAAUCUGAUCACAACUUAUUGAGACAUAACAAAGUCUCUUUUGGUCCUUGAGCAUUGUGUGAAGACGUUAUUUUUGAAACUGCUGCAGCCAUCACGUAACUAAGAGGGAGUGAGACUUCACGGGUGGAAAGAACCUGGAUCCUUGAUGACACAGUUGAUUCAUUGAAUCAACCACCCAUCAAAUGCCCAAUCCCUA